rnacentral:lncRNA from 1 species
AUGGGCCCUGCCCAUUUACGCUCUCGCGCUCUCUCUCUCGUCGCUGUCUCUCUGUUCCUCUGUCUCUCUGUCUCUCUGUUCCUCUGUCUCUCUCUCUGUUCCUGUCUCUCUCUCCAUCUCUCUGUUCCUCUGUCUCUCUCUCUGUUCCUGUCUCUCUCUCUAUCUCUCUCUUCCUGUUUCUCUGUUCUUCUGUUUCUCUCUCUGUCUCUCUGUCUCUCUGUCUCUCAGUUCCUCUGUCUCUCUGUGUUCCUCUGUCUCUCUGUUCCUCUGGCUCUCACUCUGUAUCUCUGUUCCUCUGUCUCUCCGUCUCUCUGUUCCUCUGUCUCUCUCUGUUCCUCUGUCUCUCUGUCUCUCUGUUCCUCUGUCUCUCUGUUCCUCUGUCUCUCUCUGUCUCUCUGUCUCUCUGUCUCUCUGUUCCUCUGUCUCUCUUCCUCUGUCUGUCUCUCUGGUCCUCUCUCUCUGUUCCUCUGUUCCUCUGUCUCUCUGUUCAUCUGUCUCUCUCUGUCUCUCUCUCUGUCUCUCUGUUCCUGUCUCUCUGUUCCUCUGUCUCUCUGUUCCUCUGUCUCUCUCUCUUCCUGUCUCUCUCUUCAUCUGUCUCUCUCUCUGUCUCUCUGUCUCUCUGUUCCUCUGUCUCUCUGUUCUUCUGUCUCUCUGAUCCUCUGUCUCUGUCUCUCUGUUCCUCUGUCUCUCUGUUCCUCUGUCUCUGUCUCUCUGUUCCUCUGUCUCUCUGUUCCUCUGUCUCUCUCUUCCUCUCUCUCUGUCUCUCUCUCUGUCUCUCUGUUCCUGUCUCUCUCUCUGUUCCUCUGUCUCUUUCUCUGUCUCUCUCUGUCUGUCUCUGUCUCUCUGUUCCUCUGUUUCUCUCUCUGUCUCUGUCUCUCUGUCUCUGUUCCUCUGUUCCUCUGUCCCGCUCUCUGUCCCGCUCUCUGUGCUACUCCGUGCCCCACCCAUGCUCUCUCUCUCUCUCUAUGGUGACUGGCCGUGGCCGUGGCCGUCAGCCAUUUACCCUGUUCCUCCUCCUCGUCUCCCAUUCUGCCGCCCUUUAUAAUAAACUAGAGUCUGACGCCCACGUCUCACGUUUUCUCUUUUCUUCUUUUUAAACAAAACAAUAACAACACCGCGGUGGGGGCCGGGACCCCGGAGGCCUCCGUUUCCCGGGGGUCAAACGUCAACCAGGGGAACUGGGGU